AUCCUCUGACAACCCUAGAGAUAGGGCUUUCCCCUUCGGGGGACAGAGUGACAGGUGGUGCAUGGUUGUUGUCAGCUCGUGUCAUGAGAUGUUGGGUUAAGUCCCGCAACGAGCGCAACCCUUGAUCUUAGUUGCCAGCAUUCAGUUGGGCACUCUAAGGUGACUGCCGGUGACAAACCGGAGGAAGGUGGGGAUGAAGUCAAAUCAUCAUGCCCCUUAUGACGUGGGAUACACACUUGAUACAAUGGACGG
rnacentral:rRNA from 1 species